rnacentral:misc_RNA from 1 species
UAAUAAGUGUUUUAUGGCACUUUUUAAAUCCAUAUCCACCUUGUGUGCAAUGUCAGUCGGUUUUCUUCUUCGUCAAGAAAAAAAGGAUCGACCAAACAUCAACUUAUUCUAAUUGAACUUUUGUCUGCCAUUUAACAACUAUUAUGUAACAAACGUAAUUCUUAUAACCUAAU